UAUGACACAGGGGCAGGAGGGGGCCAAGCUAGGGGUGGAGCCUUUGUGGGAAAGGUGACAUGGAUCUGAAGGAAUUUAAAGGGCCUCGGACUUCCUUGCCAGAUAUCCUUUUGCUGAGCCGCUCUGCACCUGCCCAGCACCAUGGUAAUGUGUGACGGCUGAGUCGGGGACCCCUGUCAGCUACGUUCUCCAGGAGCUUGAGGAUGGAAGCUGGCACCAAGGGCCCCUCCGCAGGAUCACAGGCGCCGGCUCUGCGGUGCGCGUGCGCACUGGCCCUGGUGUGCCUGGCGCUGCUGCUGCUGCUGCGGCCCCGGGGAGCCCUGGGGGAGGCGCUGCAGCCGCAGCAGCCCCCCGGGCCCAGGGCGGCGGACUGGCUGUCCAACUUCGCGCACUUCAACAAGUACCUGGAGAAGCUCUUCAACAGCAGCUGCCAACACCACAAGAACCCCACCAGCAAACACCACGAAACCCCUACCAGCGAAUGCUACGAAACCCCCCCGACAGACCACCGGGAAACCCCAACCUCCGCCCUCCUCCCAGGGCCCCAGGACCCUCUCAGCCUGUCACUCCAGCAAUGAGCAGAGCAGAAAUGGCAGGAGCCCAUCGAGGGCCUGUCCCUGAGAAGCUGGAUGUGAGGAUGGCACUCUCCUAGAUUCCCUUUCUGGGUCCUCUCAGGGAAGUUGGGACAAACCAAGAGGAAGAGGCAGCGGGUGUGUGUGCCUUCUGCACUGUAGGCCAGAUCCAGAACUGAGUGAUGCGUCUCGCUCAUCUUCAUACGUUCCGAGGACCUGCCGUGGAGCCCGCUUAGACAAGGCACCAAGUACUUACCUGCAGGCGGAUGAAAUGAAAAUGGAAAAAGGUCCCUCUCCACCUGCCCAACCCCAUGGGUCCUUCUAGGACGGGGUGGAUGGCCACUGGGCAGUGUUAUGGGUGGAGUGAGGGCUUUGAUGCAAGUAGAAGAGGAAUUCCCCAGGAGCACCUGGGGUCACAGGCUGGGGCCCAGUGUGCCAUAGCAAGCGGGGUGGUGGUCCCCACAUAUGAGACUCCAAGGACAGGAAUUCAGCCAGCAUCACAUCCUCCAUACGUGCCUCUCACAAGAGUGCCUCCAAAGCAGCCUAGCCGAGCUCUUAGGCCAAUGUCUUAUUCCUGUGCUGGGUGGCAGCAGUGGGGGGCUGGGGGGGUACAGGUGGCUGCCCCCAGAUGUCAGGAACCUAAUGGGUCCCCUGUUCCCUGGAGAAACCCUUAGACUGAGGGCAGCUGUUGCACGUGCGCAUACACACACACCCUGAGUCCCUGUCCUAUUCCCUCAAAAUCAGUGCAGGCCUGACUGGGGACUCAGGUCAUUCGUUUGGAGAUUGGACUCUGCCCCCACUUCUCUCUUCCCGGGAGACUCCCUCUGCACCAGGGCCCCUGCAGGCGCAGAAGUGUUCAAUAUUUUUCCCUCCCUGCCCACAACACCUGCAAAAGCAAAUCCAACCAUUGUCAGCCCACAUUUUUCCUAAGAGGGGACUGGGUGUGGAAGGAGGGGAAUUUCUCCCUUGGGGUCAUUGGAGAGGAAAGUUGCCUGAGCCUGAGUUUCCAGAAGGGUUAGAAGUGAGAAGGAGAGUAAAGGAAAAGAGGGGGUGUUAGUAAGCAUGUGCCAGGCUGUACGUUCAGCUGCCUUCCUCAUCAGCUCUACCACUCAAGAGCUGUGUGACCUUUGGCAAAGCACAUAACCUCUCUGAGCCUAAGCAGUGAACUCUUAUUAUUAUUUAAGGUGUAAGUUUCCAUGUAUGACCAGUGAAGAAACACAGGCAGUGAAAUGGAAUGACUAGGCGGGCCAAAGUCGCAUGGCUGACCAGUGGCAGACGGGGACUCAAUGCAGAUCUUUGGUCUCUGAGGUCCCUGCCCCCGCUGCCUACAGCGGGACUUGAGGGGGUAGGCCCGUGUGAGAACUCAGAGUCAGGCUCCAGAGACGGGCAGGCCAGAGCAGGAGGUUCCCAGAGGAAAUGAGGCUGGAGUGACCUUGAGGACAGUAGGAGAUGCUGUCUCACAGAAGUGGGGUGGUGACAACGGGACUGCACUGUUGGGGGACACUAAUGGAGGAACGUGGGAGGUGCCGCCAGAGGGGACAGGGGUGCACCAUGGGGAGCCUUGCAGAAGAGUUGAGAGUGAAUGGUUAGUGGAGCCAGGAGCGGCACACGGAGGGCUCUCUUACCUCUGUCCCCGGCUGUGUGACCUCCUGCCAGCUUCUCCCCAUCCUCAGACCUCAGGAUUCCCAUCUGCUCAAUGAUGAGAUGGGCCAGGUGAUUUCCAGAGGAUGUUCAAAGGAGAUCAUGUUUGUAACCGAUAGCGCUGGUUGCUCCAGUACGCACUCUCUCCUCCUCCUGUCAUACACGAGCUUGAGAACAGCACGUGGCCACUGGGCUAAUGACAUCUUCUGGGUUGUUCUGGCCAUGAGGUGGGACCGCAUGACUAAGUUCUAGCCACUGAGAGGAGCGUUUCGGUGCCUCGGUGCCCCAGCCACAGAAGCAGCUGAGUCUGCCACCUGUGCCUCCAGCCUGACACACACAGACCCAGGCCCAAGCAGAGCUGGCAUAGAGACCCCUUCCAAGGCAGUGCACCCCAUCCCCACCCAGGUGUCACUCAGGGCUUCUGGACUUCCUCGUGAAACAGAGGUGCUAAUCCCCAGAUGCCACUGAAUUUUAUGUAAAAGAGAAAUAAACUUCUGUCCUGUUUAAGCUACUGCUAAUUCUGCCUUUAUUUUAAAAAAGCCAAAUCAAUAUUCUAGCAAUAUUCUCAUGCUGUCCUGAGGCAGACUGUAGCAAAGAUAACCACUGAAAGACCUCCUAUCCCACAUGUAGUUCCACAUGUGGGGUCCAUGUCCCUUUCUCAGGUGUACUGGUCAGGUGAGUGUGUUGGAGGAUGUGGCUUGUGAGGCCAGGUCAUAGGAGGCAGUUGUUAUGGGUUGAAUUGUGUGCCCCCCCCCAAGUUCGCAUGUUGAAAUCCUAACCCCCAGUGCCUCAAAAUGCAGCCUUAUUUGGCAAUAGAGUCUUUGCGGAUGAAAACUAAUUAAGUUGAGCUCACCCUGGAGUAGAGCGGACCCAUAAUCCAAUAUGACUGCUGUGUUUAAAUGAACGGGACUUUGGGACACAGAAACAGAUGCACAGAAGGGAAGCCACCUAGGAGCUAAGGACAGAGGCCUGGAGCAGCCCCGACCCUCACAGCCCUCAAAGGUAAGCAACCCUGCCCACCUGGGACUUCAGACUUCCAGCCUUCAGACCUGCUGGUAAACUCCUGGGUUUGUGGUAUUUUGUUACCGUGGCCCCAGGAAGACAAGGGCAGCACUGCUUCCUCCCAGUUCUCUCCCAGCACUCACUUCGUGGGGAGCCAGCUACCAUGUGGGCCCAACUACCCCAAGAAUACAGUGCUGGAGGGGCCCCCACAUGGAGGUGCUGGGUCAACAGACCCAGCUGAGCUCUGGGCCAGCAGCUAGCAGCACCCCCAGACAUGUGCAUGAGACCUCCUAGGCAUCAACCCUGAGGGGUGCCCUCCAAUGACCUCAGCCCCAGCCAACCCCUGACUGUCACUGCAGGAACGACUCCAAGUGACAGGUGCCUAGUUGAGCGCUUCCCAAUCCUGACCCAUGAAACCAUCAUGGGUGAAAUGAAAUGGUUAGUUGAAGCCAGGUCUUAGGGUAAGUGUGACUCAGCCUCGUAACCAGAGCAUCUCCCCUUCCCCUUCCCUCCCUUCCUGCUGACUGGAACACAAGGCGGUAAUGGUGGGCCAUCUCCAGUCACGUAGAGGAGGACAUGGGGAUGCCACAAAAUAGGUCCCAGGGCUUCUGGACUUCCUCGUGAAACAGAGGUGCUAAUCCCCAGAUGCCACUGA